GACGAACGCUGGCGGCGUGCCUAAUACAUGCAAGUUGAGCGAUGAAGCUUGGUGCUUGCACCAAUUUGAAGAGCAGCGAACGGGUGAGUAACGCGUGGGGAAUCUGCCUUUGAGCGGGGGACAACAUUUGGAAACGAAUGCUAAUACCGCAUAACAACUUUAAACAUAAGUUUUAAGUUUGAAAGAUGCAAUUGCUUCACUCAAAGAUGAUCCCGCGUUGUAUUAGCUAGAUUGUGAGGUAAAGGCUUACCAAGGCGAUGAUACAUAGCCGACCUGAGAGGGGGAUCGGCCACAUUGGGACUGAGACACGGCCCAAACUCCUACGGGAGGCAGCAGUAGGGAAUCUUCGGCAAUGGACGAAAGUCUGACCGAGCAACGCCGCGGGAGUUAAGAAGGUUUUCGGAUCGUAAAACUCUGUUGGUAGAGAAGAAAGAUGGUGAGAGUGGAAAGCUCAUCAAGUGACGGUAACUACCCAGAAAGGGACGGCUAACUACGUG
rnacentral:rRNA from 1 species